GCUUCUGUAGUAUAGUGGUUUGAGUGUUUGCCUGCUGGAUCAAAGGGUUGCUGGUUCAAUUCUAGCCAGGAAAA
rnacentral:tRNA from 1 species